rnacentral:lncRNA from 1 species
GGCAGCCCGACGUAUAUUAAUGGACGGUGGUAUUACCGUAUAUAAGUUGGUCACCAAGACGUUGGUUUCUAGGGCACGCGACGUCUAUGAUAUAGUAGACGUCUGCUCUGCCCUAAACCAACGUCCAAUGGCCUGAGGUAGGCGAGAAGACAGGCUUUUCUACCCCAUUGACGUCGGUUGUUCUGGGGGCCCGAUGUCUACUUGCCUGCAAUUAAUCCUCUUCACCUGAUUCUCAGACGUUUAGACGUCACGUAGUAAAAAACCGACAUCUAUGGCUUGUCUGGAAGGUGGGAAGACAUCAAUUUCUACAAUAUAGACGUCGGAUUUCUC